AUGCAUCCCGACGCCACCUCCCCCUCGCACCGCAUCGCCCGCGUCGCCGCGCACCUCAACCCCACUCGCCCGCAGAUGGAGGAGGGCGCGGCGCUGAGGCCCGCGGCGUGCCGCGCCAAGGGCGGCGCGCCGGGGUUCAAGGUGGCGGUGGUGGGCGCGGCCGGGGGGAUCGGCCAGUCGCUGUCGCUGCUCAUGAAGAUGAACCCGCUCGUCUCCGUGCUCCACCUCUACGACGUCGUCAACACGCCCGGGGUCACCGCCGACGUCAGCCACAUGGACACCAGCGCCGUGGUGCGUGGCUUCAUUGGCCAACAACAGCUUGAGGCAGCACUUACAGGAAUGGAUCUUGUCAUCAUCCCUGCCGGCCUCCCAAGAAAACCAGGAAUGACAAGGGAUGAUCUGUUCAACAAAAAUGCUGGGAUCGUUCGCUCGAUCUGUGAAGGCGUUGCCAAGAGCUGUCCUAAUGCUAUUGUGAAUUUGAUCAGCAACCCUGUGAACUCAACCGUCCCCAUUGCUGCGGAGGUUUUCAAGAGAGCUGGAACUUACUGUCCCAAGCGUCUCCUUGGAGUGACAACACUUGAUGUAGCGAGGGCUAACACCUUUGUGGCGGAAGUCCUUGGAGUUGAUCCGAGAGAAGUCAAUGUUCCAGUUGUUGGCGGGCAUGCAGGGGUCACUAUAUUACCCCUCCUGUCACAGGUCAGCCCCCCAUGCUCAUUCACUCCAGAUGAAAUCAGCUAUUUGACUAACCGCAUACAGAACGGUGGUACAGAAGUUGUGGAGGCAAAGGCUGGAGCAGGCUCUGCAACUUUGUCAAUGGCUUUUGCUGCUGCAAAAUUCGCCGACGCGUGCCUGCGAGGAAUGCGCGGAGAUGCUGGCAUCGUGGAGUGUUCAUACGUCGCAUCUGAGGUGACAGAGCUGCCGUUCUUCGCAUCGAAGGUGAGGUUAGGUCGCGGUGGAGCCGAGGAGAUUCUCCCUCUUGGGCCACUGAAUGACUUUGAGAGCCGGCCUGGAGAAGGCGAAGAAGGAGCUGAGCGAGAGCAUUCAGAAGGGCGUGUCCUUCAUGAACAAGUGAGAUCGUACGAAUGGAUCGCCCCCGACCUAUACAGAUAUGCAAAGACUAAAGAAAGAGUGUGA
rnacentral:rRNA from 1 species